rnacentral:rRNA from 1 species
CCUACGGGUGGCAGCAGUGAGGAAUAUUGGUCAAUGGGCGCGAGCCUGAACCAGCCAAGUAGCGUGAAGGAUGACUGCCCUACGGGUUGUAAACUUCUUUUAUAAAGGAAUAAAGUGAUGCACGUGUGCCUUUUUGUAUGUCUUUUAUGAUUAAGGAUCGGCUAAUUCCGUGCCAGCAGCCGCGGUAAUACGGAGGAUCCGAGCGUUAUCCGGAUUUAUUGGGUUUAAAGGGAGCGUAGAUGGUUAGUUAAGUCAGUUGUGAAAGUUUGCUGCUCAACCGUAAAAUUGCAAUGGAUACUGGCAGCCUGGAGUACAGUUGAGGUAGGUGGAAGUCUUGGUGUAGCGGUGAAAUGCGUAGAUAUCACGAAGAACUCCGAUUGCGAAGGCAGCCUACUAAACUGCCACUGACAUUGAUGCACGAAAGUGUGGGUAUCAAACAGGAUUAGAGACCCUGGUAGUC